rnacentral:rRNA from 1 species
AUUGAACGCUGGCGGCAGGCCUAACACAUGCAAGUCGAGCGGAUGACGGGAGCUUGCUCCUUGAUUCAGCGGCGGACGGGUGAGUAAUGCCUAGGAAUCUGCCUGGUAGUGGUGGACAACGUUUCGAAAGGAACGCUAAUACCGCAUACGUCCUACGGGAGAAAGCAGGGGACCUUCGGGCCUUGCGCUAUCAGAUGAGCCUAGGUCGGAUUAGCUUGUUGGUGAGGUAAUGGCUCACCAAGGCGACGAUCCGUAACUGGUCUGAGAGGAUGAUCAGUCACACUGGAACUGAGACACGGUCCAGACUCCUACGGGAGGCAGCAGUGGGGAAUAUUGGACAAUGGGCGAAAGCCUGAUCCAGCCAUGCCGCGUGUGUGAAGAAGGUCUUCGGAUUGUAAAGCACUUUAAGUUGGGAGGAAGGGUUGUAGAUUAAUACUCUGCAAUUUUGACGUUACCGAAAGAAUAAGCACCGGCUAACUCUGUG